rnacentral:rRNA from 2 species
GUAUGUGACCAUACUAGUACUAAUGCAUUGGAUCCCAUCUGAACUUCGAAGUUAAGCAUGCUUGAGCAAGGGUAGUACUAGGAUGGGUGAUUUCUCGGAAGUCCUCAUGUUGCAUUCU